rnacentral:rRNA from 1 species
GACAGAGGGUGCAAACGUUGUUCGGAAUUACUGGGCGUAAAGCGCGUGUAGGCUGUUUCGCAAGUCGGAUGUGAAAGCCCUGGGCUCAACCUAGGAAGUGCACUCGAAACUGCGAAACUGGAGUCCUGGAGAGGAAGGCGGAAUUCUCGGUGUAGAGGUGAAAUUCGUAGAUAUCGGGAGGAACACCAGUAGCGAAGGCGGCACUCUGGGCCGGUACUGACGCUGAGGAGCGAAAGCGUGGGGAGCGAACAGG